rnacentral:misc_RNA from 1 species
UUUCCGUAGGUGAACCUGCGGAAGGAUCAUUAUUGUGUAACCGAGGUGCUAGGUCUUUCGCUCCCCCUAUAGGACGUGCGCGCCCGAGUUCCCUCACACCCAUCCAUCUCACCCCUAUGUUCACCACCGCGUGUUGACCCCUUUGCCUUUUUCGGAGGGUGGCUUACGUUUUCACACAAACUUUGUAUGCAAUUUACAGUGUUUUUUUUGUUUUUUCGCGCACGCAAACAAUACAACUAUCAACAACGAAUCUCUUGGCUCUCGCAUCCACAAAGAACA